GCGCAAGAAGGAGAAGAGCAUGCCCUGGAACGUGGACACGCUCAGCAAAGACGGCUUCAGCAAGGCCCAUGCCCACGCUCCCGCCACCUUGAUGCUCAUGGCUUCGUCACCACCUCCGCCGUGGAUGGGAUGGGCGCUGCGGCCACGGCCCGCCCGGCCGCGCUCGAGGCGCUCCGCAACCUUGCCCCAGCCCACUCCCCCUCUCACCCUACCACAGAGCAUGGUAAAUACCAAGCCCGAGAAGACGGAGGAGGACUCAGAGGAGGUGAGGGAGCAGAAACACAAGACCUUCGUGGAAAAAUACGAGAAACAGAUCAAGCACUUUGGUGAGUGGGGCGUGUGGGUUAUGGGGGGCAAGGUCGAGGCAGGCCCUUUGCCUCCAGGGCCCUCCAGCACCUUGCCAGCAUCUUCCCACAGGCAUGCUCCGCCGCUGGGAUGACAGCCAAAAGUACCUGUCAGACAACGUCCACCUGGUGUGCGAGGAGACGGCCAAUUACCUGGUCAUUUGGUGCAUUGACCUAGAGGUGGAGGAGAAAUGUGCACUCAUGGAGCAGGUGGCCCACCAGACAAUCGUCAUGCAAUUUAUCCUAGAGCUGGCCAAGAGCCUGAAGGUGGACCCCCGGGCCUGCUUCCGGCAGUUCUUCACUAAGAUUAAGACAGCCGAUCGCCAGUACAUGGAGGGCUUCAACG
rnacentral:sRNA from 1 species